GUUUUUCAGCUGUGAGUUGUUUCUUUUGAAAAUGACUGCUUGAUGAUAAAGUUUCAAACAACUAUGGAGUAAGUGGAUGUUCUAGAGAGACUAAUUCUUCAAAGAAUGAAUGAUCAUCAUCAUCCUUAUAUUGGAAUAAAAGGAAGGAAGUGACAGCUACAGUCAUAGUAAAAGUAAAUGCAGUCAGAAGACCUCUGAUAUCACCUGAAGAUCCAGCCUUCUCAAGAUUCUGUAUAAAAAUAACAAGGACUGCUAAAAAGACUUUUUACAACUUGCAAAUGUGCAGUCUGUGAUCCAGGUAGUUUAGUGUUGACAAGAUGGCAGUAGAGGACAAAAGAUUGCAAUGCAGUAUGUCAUUGUGAAGGCGAAAUGUUUAUGAAAAUAGUGUGUGUGUUUUCCAAAUAGAGAGGCUGAAAGUGGGGAAUCAUCCAUUAGUGGUUUUGGAAUUAGUUAUGGACAUCUGAAUAGUGAAGAUCUGUCCCUUUUUUGGAUCGCCACCAAAAUAAUGAUUGGUGCUUUUGACAUAAAUAGAAGAACUCACACUGGACACCCUGAAGAUGGAAUUAUGUUGUUUGCAUUAAUGUUUCUUUUUCAGAUUCAUGGACAAAAAUUAGAAUGUCAUUUCUUAAAAAUGUUGAUAGUUGUUUAACCAAAGGCCCUGUAAUUGAAACUUAUCUUUAUUCUUGACUUGAUACUGUUUGAUUACUUUUGCAUGUAUAACAUUAAAUUUGUUACAUUUAAAUUUGAUAAAAUUUAAUGUAUUUUGAAAAAAGAUGCGCUUGAACAUAUCUAAAUGGAAUAAACACAUGACAGUCUUUGAAUAUCGGUAAAAAAGCACAUGUUUUGCAAUUCUCAUGAUCUCAUCAGAUUUGGUUACCAAUUUAAAGCAUAAUUAUACAUGAAGGCUUAUUACUCAAACAAAUACAGAUCUAAUUGUAUUUUCUACCAUAGAUAAUUUUAUUUCAUAUAGAUUUUUUAAACCUCUAAAAAAAUACUGAGAAAAUAUAGCAAAACAAUGGUUGAAUUAGAAUACUUGAUUUUGUGAGACUGUUGAAAUAUUACAGUUCUUUUUCCCUCUUAAGCCUGUAUCAUAAAAUCAUAUUUUCUGAUGAAAUUUAUUUUCUAAGAAUGUUGCAAUGCAGAGUUUAAUGAAAAUUCAUACAUUUGUAAAGUUACCUAUAUUGUGUUAGGUAAUAACUUAAGCCCAUAUAUACUAAUUGGCCAAUGAUUAAAGAGAACAUCUGAGUUUCUGGCUGACUUUCUGACUAAUUUAAGACCUCAUUCAUGUAACAAAAUCUAUUAAUCUUCAGAAAUCCAGUAAAAUUGUCAUCUGUAAAACAGUUUUCAUUCUAAGAUAUACAAGGCAUAUAACAUCCUAUUUUACCAGCAUGUAUUUACUUUAAUAAAUAAAGUAGAUUUAGUUGUGUAUUUUGAUAAAUUUUGGAAAAAGCAUUAGGAGAUAUGUCUGCAACUGCAGUUUGUAUUAACUGAGUAUUUACUGGCACUGGAAUGUGCAUGGUCAGGGAUUUUCUGAAUAAACUUAGUAAAGUCUUAAAUCUACAUUAUCUAUAGCUAUCCGUAAAAAGUCUAGCCAUUGUCUUGAUAGUUUGAAAGAAUUAAAUACUUUCGAGCCGCGCCAUGGGAAAACCAACAUAGUGGCUUUGCGACCAGCAUAGAUCCAGAGCAGCCCGCGCAGUCUGGUCAGGAUCCAUCCUGCUCGCUUUCAAAGCAUAUUGCAAUUAGAGAAACUGUGAAAAAAGUGAACAGCAUGGAUCCUGAUCAGACUGCGCUGAUGCACAGGCUGGUAUGGAUCCAUGCUGGUCGCAAACGCACUAUGUUGGUUUUCUCAUGGCGCUGCUCAUUUAAAGUUGUAUCUAGCAAAAUAUUGACUAUAGUGUUCUAUAGAUAAUUUGAUUUAAUUUGAUUGUUAAAGGAAGAAUGUGCAUCAUGAUUGUUAUUACAUGAACAUACUGUAUUAUUUUUAAAUAUCAUGAUAUUUUUCAGUCUUGGAUUACACUGUUAUUUGUUGAUAAUUUUGAAUUGUAUUUAAAAUGUAUAUAUUAAAUCAAAUGGCGAAGUAGACAUGAUUUUGCUUUUACUACUAUUUGUUUCCAUGGCAACAAAAUGAUUUCCAAAGGUGAAAGGACACUGCCUUUACACAAACACACAUAGAUAUUUUU